UCCAGACUCCUACGGGAGGCAGCAGUGGGGAAUAUUGCACAAUGGGGGAAACCCUGAUGCAGCGACGCCGCGUGAAGGAAGAAGUAUCUCGGUAUGUAAACUUCUAUCAGCAGGGAAGAAAACAGACGGUACCUGACUAAGAAGCCCCGGCUAACUACGUGCCAGCAGCCGCGGUAAUACGUAGGGGGCAAGCGUUAUCCGGAGUGACUGGGUGUAAAGAGUUGCGUAGGUGGCAUAAUAAGUAGCUAGUGAAAUCUGGUGGCUCAACCAUUCAGACUAUUAGCUAAACUGUUAAGCUCGAGACCGUUAGGGGUAACUGGAAUUUCUAGUGUAGGAGUGAAAUCCGUAGAUAUUAGAAGGAACACCAAUAGCGUAGGCAGGUUACUGGGACGGUUCUGACACUAAGGCACGAAAGCGUAGGGAGCAAACGGGAUUAGAUACCCGGGUAAU
rnacentral:rRNA from 1 species